CCAACCUCCUACCUCUCACCUGAGACCGGCUGGUCCAGUCUCUGGCCUCCCCUCCCCCUUCCACGUCUCUCCAGUCUCCCCCCUCCCCCGCCCCAUUUCCGCUGCAGGCUCUGCACAGGCCUCUGGCGCUUCAUCCGGAUGGGGAGAGGCUGCAGUGACCCCGGGAUGGGCUUCGGUGUCAUCCGCACUCACACCCCACCCCCACCCCCAGGAACAGGAGGCAACUGCACCUUUACACUGACCUGCAGGGAUCCAGGGAAUUUUCCUCCCUCUUCCCUCAGUCGGUUUGGGUCGCUCCCCAAAGACCAAGAGUCCUGCAGACCGACAAGACUGCUUGGUGAGGAGACCCCAGGGUCCCGAAGGCAGCGCCCAGCUUUAUACUGACCUGAAAGGAUCCGGGGCACUUUUCUCCUUCUCCAGCUAUAGGGAGCUGCUCCUGGGAAACAGGCCCUGGACUAUAAGGACUUCUGCACACGUCGACUCCUGGUCACGUGAGGGUCGCGUCAUCAAUGAGCUCGAGUCCUCGGUUACUCCUCCCAUUUAACACUGCAGCCCGCCCCCUGCGUUCCCUCCAUUUGAUACUGUCAAUCUUUUUUUUCAUAUUUGCCAAUCAGAGACAAUAAAACUGGUAUCUUCUUCCUGCA